AUUAAAAUAGUUUAAUAAAACAUUAUAUUUUCAUUAUAAAAAUAGAUUAUAUCUUUUUAAUA
rnacentral:tRNA from 1 species